UAGGCGUCGAGUGGCGGACGGGUGAGUAACGCGUAGGAAUCUGCCUGAUAGUGGGGGAUAGCCCGAAGAAAUUCGGAUUAAUACCGCAUAAUCUAUUCGUAGUAAAGUGGGGGACUUUCGAGCCUCACGCUAUCAGAUGAGCCUGCGUAAGAUUAGCUAGUUGGUAGGGUAAAAGCCUACCAAGGCGACGAUCUUUAGCUGGUCUGAGAGGAUGAUCAGCCACAUCGGGACUGAGACACGGCCCGAACUCCUACGGGAGGCAGCAGUGGGGAAUAUUGGGCAAUGGGGGCAACCCUGAUCCAGCAAUACCGCGUGUGUGAAGAAGGCCUGAGGGUUGUAAAGCACUUUCAAUUGUGAAGAAAAGCUAGUGGUUAAUAGCCAUUAGCCUUGACGUUAACUUUAGAAGAAGCACCGGCUAACUCCGUGCCAGCAGCCGCGGUAAUACGGAGGGUGCAAGCGUUAAUCGGAAUUACCGGGCGUAAAGCGUGCGUAGGCGGUUUAUUAAGUCAGAUGUGAAAGCCCCGGGCUUAACCUGGGAACUGCAUUUGAAACUGGUCAACUAGAGUAUGGUAGAGGAAAGUGGAAUUUCUGGUGUAGCGGUGAAAUGCGUAGAUAUCAGAAGGAACAUCAAUGGCGAAGGCAACUUUCUGGACCAAUACUGACGCUGAGGUACGAAAGCGUGGGUAGCAAACAGGAUUAGAUACCCUGGUAGUCCACGCCGUAAACGAUGAUAACUAGCCGUUGGGGGGAUUUACCCCUUAGUGGCGAAGCUAACGCGUUAAGUUAUCCGCCUGGGGAGUACGGCCGCAAGGUUAAAACUCAAAGGAAUUGACGGGGACCCGCACAAGCGGUGGAGCAUGUGGUUUAAUUCGAUGCAACGCGAAGAACCUUACCUGGUCUUGACAU
rnacentral:rRNA from 1 species